rnacentral:lncRNA from 10 species
UGGGAAACCAAGCUGCCGGUUGGUGAGGGUCACCAGUAGCACCAGGUCAGGAUGUGGGGAGUAAUGAGACCAUGGCCAUUGCCACUAUGAGGAAUGACAGACUAGCUUGAACCUGUGUGAGUAGAAAUAUAUUCCUCAAACCCCAAAGAGCCUUGACUAAAGUAGUGACCUAUGUGAGCACCACGGGAAAUGAAAAUCACUCAACAUUUAGUGAAGGAGGUUGUGAUCAUAAAAGCUGGCUGAGAGAUCCACAUGGGGCAUCCUUAAGGUCUCCAGUUGAGUUCAGCAUCCCUGAAGCUAUGCUUCCAUAGUGCUCCAGUGCUCUGUGCAUUUCCAAGGGUGGCAAAGAUGAAUAAAUCUCUGCUAUAAUUCCAGAACCUUCUAUGUGUUUCCAAAAGCAAAAGAAAUGAAUACAUUUCUGGUGUUGGUGUUGUUUGAGGAUGUGGCUAAGGACUUCACUUGGGAGGAGUGACCAGAUCUGGAUGAUGCUUAGCAGACCCUGUACAGAGACAUGAUGCUGGAGACCUACAGCAGCUUGGUAUCCUUGGGACACUGCAUUACCAAACCUGAGAUUAUCUUCUGGAGCAAGGAUCAGAGCCAUGGACAAAAGGGCCCAAAACACAGCCUCCCAGCCAUGUGAAGGUGCCUGCUACCACUUUGCCUUGUGCCAUAAGUCAGAGUUCCCUGAGACCUCCCCAGAAUCAGAUGGUGCCAUGCUUCCUGUACAGCCCAGACAAUCGUGAGCCAGUUAAACCUAUUUUCUUUAUAAAUUAAAAAGAAAAGAAAACAAGUGUAAGCAAGGAUAUGAAGAAGAGAACCCUUGUACACUGUUGGUGAAAAUGAAAAUCAGUGCAACCACUAUGGAAAAUAGUAUGGAGGCACCUCAAAAAAUUUAAAUCAGAAAUACCAUACGAUCCAGCAAUCCUACUUCUGGAUAUAUAUUCAAAGGAGUUGAAAUCAGGGUCUUGAAGAGAGAUCUGCACUUUUACAUUUAUUGCAGCAUUAUUCACAAUAGGCAAGAUAUGGAAUCAACUUCAGUGUCCAUCAAUGAAUAAAUGGACAACGAAAUUGUGAUAUUAAAAAAAGUAUAUACUUAUGGUAUAUGAUACAAUGUUUUGAUAUAUGUAUACCUUGUAGAAAGUCUAAAUCAAGCUAACUAACAAUGAAUUACCUUGUUUUUAUCAAUUUAAAAGUAAUUUUUUUUUUUUGACACAGAGUCUUGUUCUGUCACCCAGGCUGGAAAGCGGUGAUCUCGGCUCACUGCAAUCUCUGCUUCCCGGGUUCAAUCGAUUCCUAUGCCUCAGCUUCCCGAGUAGCUGGGAUUACAGACAUGCACAACCACACCUGGCUAAUUUUUGUAUUUUUAGUAAAGAUGGGGUUUCACCCUAUCUCUCAGGCUUGUCUCGAACUCCUGGCCUCAUGUGAUCGGCCCACCUCAGCCUGCCAAAGUGCUGGGAUUACAGGCAUAAGCCACUGCACCCAGCCAGUUUUUUUUUAAAAGUAAAGAUAAUUAUAUAUAUGUGUGUAUACACACACACACAUACAUAUAUAUAUAUACACACAUGCACACACACAAUGGAAUGUCAGCCUUUAAAAAGAAGGAAAUCCCGCCAUUUGCAGCAACAUUGAUUAAACUGAAGGUCAUUAUGCUAAGUGAAAUAAGCCAGAAACAGAAGGACAAAUACUGCGUGAUCUCACUUAUAUGUAAAAUUUAAAGUAGUCAAAUUCAUAGAAGUAGAUUAUAGAACGGCAGUUGUCAGGGGCUGGAAGGAGGUUGAAAAUGGGAAGGUGAAAAUUUUAGUUGUGCAAAAUAAGUAAGUUCUAGAGAUCUACUAUAGAGCAUAGUGCUGACAGCUAACAAUACUGUAUUGUAUACUUAAAAUUUGCUAAGAGGGUAGAUAUUAUGUUAAGUGUUCUUGGUACCAAAAUAAUCAUCAUGAUUAUCAUCAUAAUGGGGGCAAGAGAAAACUUUGGAAGGUUACAUGUAUGUCUACGGCCAUGAUAGGUGAUGGCAUCAUAAUGUAUAGUUUUUUCCCAAACUCACUGAGAUGUAUACAUUAAAUAUGUACAGUCUUUUAUAUGUCAAUCAUCCCAUAAUAAGUGGGUUCAAAAAUGAAAGAAAAUAAUUCUAGUUUCUUUAUUAUUAUCAGACUUUUAGAGCCUUUGGAUUCUUAAUUAUAUAAUAGGACUCUCUCAAGGAAAAAAAUAAUAUUCAAAUAUUCAAGGAGCCAAUUAAAAAAAAGCUUUGGAGAUGUUGAUCAAGGGCUUAUUUCUGAGCUAGUUUAAUUACCUUUCAUAUUCUGUUUAGGACAAACUACGUUGUACCCUAUGCUGACAUGCAUGAAAAAGAAGAGACACGCUAAUGGGAGAGGGAGAGCGUAGGACAUUAGGGUGGAGGUAGAUAUACUUCUCCCCUUUUCUUUUCAUUUACUUCCAGCCUAACAGUCAAGUGAUCUGCCAUGUCCCAGGCACUGAAUGAUGUGUUAGUGACACAGAGAUAAACAAGACAAAAUUCUUGUGUCCAGAAAAUUCUAGUCACAGAGAAAGAAAAGUAAUGAUACCUCAAUACAUGGUGGACCCCCUUAAAAGGAGAAAAGAAAGCUUCCUGGCAAAGAAGAUGCCCAGGGUAUCAGGAAAGGGGUAGACGGCAUUUUGAAUUUAUGUAAAAAGUAAGCAAGCCCACCCCAAAGCUCUUCUAAUUUUAAAAUUGACAAGUCAUACCAUCUGCACGACCCUUUCCAAAUGUAUCUGCUGCUGCCCCUCUGUUGGCCUUCCCAAAGCCACAUGGUUAACUUUUGCUACAGAACAGAGAUCAGCAGAAAUAAUUGACAUAGAUUAAGCUACAGGCAGGUUGUAUAGAUCAUGGGCCCAGAUCUAAUUCCUGCCUGGUCCACUCAAUUACACAGGAGCUUCUUACUGGAGAAGCAGGUGUAGUUACUGUAAAUAAGUUCGAUUUUGGGCAUGGAUGUCAUUGGGUAACUGCAUUUGCCAUGCUUGGGUGAUACAUAAGGUAGCCAUCAACGGCAUGAUUGUGGAACUCACAAAGAUAUAGCCAGCCUUUCCUGACAGUCUGGUAUCUUCAAGGCAGGCUAGGAUAGGAGAUAGAAAAUGCACUGAUAGACUAUCAGGAGGCUGGAGUGCUAGUCCUGGCUCUGUCUUUGAUUCAUUGUGUAACCUUGACUUAAAUCCUUUCCCUUUGCCAGGUCCAUUUUCCUUUCUAUAAAAUAAAAAAUUAGAUUAAAAUGCCAAGAUAGACAAAGAGGGCAGAACAGUGGUAGAUAUAUCAAGAAUUGAGUUAAAUAGAAGUGAGUUUAAAUCCUGACUCUACUUAUGUAACCACCCUAGGUCUCAGUUUUAUCAUCUACACAAUAGGAAUCACAAUUGUUCCUACUCUUCUAUGAUAACUUAAGAUAAUGUCUAUUACAGGCCUGGCACAUAGUAGUCACUCAGUAAGUAUUCAUUAUUAGCAUGGCCAUUAGUAUUAAGAUUCUGAGGUCAUUUAUUUAUUCGACAAGGUUAUUUAAAUACCCUUUAUAUCUUAGGUACUGCACUAAUUUUUAAAGUAUGUUACUUAUCUAUUGCUGUAUAACGAAUUACUUGAAAACUUAGUAGCUUAAAAUACAAGCAAAUAUUUAUUAUCUCAUAGUUUCUAUGCGUCAAAACUUAGCUGGAACCUGGUCCGGGCUUAACUGGGUUCCCUGCUUCAAGGUCUUUCAUAAGACUGUAAUCAAAGUAUUGGCUGGGACUGCAGCCUUAUCUGAAGGCUCAACCGGAAAUAAGUAUUCCUUACAGGUUGUAGAACAAAGGGCCUUGGGUCUUUGUUAGCUUGCGUCGUUCGUUGCCAUGUGAGCCUCUCCUUAGGGCAGCUCACCAAGUGGCAGCUGGCUUCCCCCAGAGACAGUGAGCAAGAGAACCAGAGAAGGCACACAAGACAGAAGUCACUAUCUUUUUGUAACCUAACCUUGAAAGUGAUAUUCCAUAUUUUUUUUGUAUUUUAUGCAUUAGAGUGAGUCAAUAAGUCCAUUCUUCACUCAAGGGGAGGGAAUUGCACAAUUAUAUUCAAUACCAGGAAGUGGGGAUCCAUUGAGGGUCACGUUAGAGGCUGCCUGCCACAUAGGGGUACAAACAUGGAAUAAGUCACAGCUGCAUUCAAGAAACUUAUAUUCUAAUGGGGGAGACUAAGAUGGAAAGUAAUAAAUGUAAACAUAGGAGUUUGCAGGGGAUAAAGAGAGGGCACAAAGAAAAGAGUGAUUCCACAUGGUGAUGGUACAUGAUGGUUCUGCACUGAGGGGUAGGGGGAUAAUGAGGUCUGACACUCAAGAGUGAAAGAAGCAAGACCAGAACCCAGCUCAAUUUCUAGCUCUGUGAAUAUUACAAAGUCUCUGGCCAUUCUUUCCACAUUGAAUGGCGAAUACCCUUGCAUAAGGUCCCAGGGUUAAGAAUUGACAGAGCCAGAAUUCGAAACUAGAUCUGUAGAAAGUCAGGCUCAAGCUCUUACUAAUGCCAGCUUAUUGCCGUUUUCUCCCGAGUCCCCAGCUGAUACAGUGUGGAUACUUGUCUCCUCCAAAUCUUAUGUAAAUGUUUGAUCUCCAGUGUUGGAGUUGGGGCCUGGUAGGGCAUGGUGGGGAGUUUGGUCCUUGGGGGUGGAUCCCUCAUGACUGGCUUGGUGCCUCAUGAGAGUAGAAUGCUGGAUGCCAGUGACAGGGAGCAGGGGAAAAGGGGGAAUUGCUAUUCAACGGGUGUAAAAUUUCAGUUAUGCAACAUGAAUAAGUUCCAGAAAUCUGCUGUACAACAUGGUGCCUAGAGUCAACAAUACUGUACCGUGCCCUUAAAAUUUGUAUAAAAGGGGAAGUCUUAUGUUAAAUGCCAUUACUACAAUAAAAAAAAGUGGGGGUUGUGAAGGAGGGAUUUAGUUUCCCAAAUGACCAAGUGUUGAAACUUAGUGACAAAAUGCCUGACUUUGCUCAACCUUACUGUCUUCAACUGUUAAAUGGGUCUAAAACAGCAGUUACCUUAUAGGGUGAUCUGAGGAUUCGAUGACAUAGCCCAUGUAAAUAUUUGGCUUUGCACAUGAUAAAGGUCUAGUGAAUGUUUGCUGUUACUGUUUUUUGUUAGCAGCAGCAGCCGUAGCCUUAUUACUCCAGCACCCAAACAGGUGCCAAGAAUUGAUGCUCUCCCAUCACAUAUUACUUUGCGCAGCAAUUGUUUCCAGCCAGCUAAAGCAACAAGGCUGAAUGGCAAGUCAAAA